rnacentral:tRNA from 1 species
GCGCCCUUAGCUCAGCUGGAUAGAGCGACUCCCUUCUAAGGAGUAGGUCGCAGGUUCGAAUCCUGCAGGGCGUACCA